rnacentral:snoRNA from 1 species
CCGGACGUGAUGACGCAUCCGCAGCUGAGCGCAGUGAUGGCUGUCGUGUUCGUACUGUCUGAUCUGG